UACGUAGGGGGCAAGCGUUGUCCGGAUUUAUUGGGCGUAAAGAGCGUGUAGGCGGCCUGACAGGUCUGCUGUGAAAACUCGAGGCUCAACCUCGAGAUGUCGGCGGAAACCGUCUGGCUAGAGUCCGGAAGAGGAGAGUGGAAUUCCUGGUGUAGCGGUGAAAUGCGCAGAUAUCAGGAGGAACACCGGUGGCGAAGGCGGGUCUCUGGGCCGAUACUCACGCUGAGGAGCGAAAGCGUGGGGAGCGAACAGG
rnacentral:rRNA from 1 species